rnacentral:snRNA from 1 species
GUGCUCAUUUUGGUAGCACAUAUACUAAAAUUAGAGUAAUACAGAGGAGAAUAGCAUGGCUCCUGCACAAGGAUGACAUGCAAAUUUGUGAAGUGUUCCAUAUUUUC